UACGUAGGGUGCAAGCGUUAAUCGGAAUUACUGGGCGUAAAGCGCGCGCAGGCGGUUAUAUAAGACAGAUGUGAAAUCCCCGGGCUCAACCUGGGAACUGCAUUUGUGACUGUAUAGCUAGAGUACGGUAGAGGGGGAUGGAAUUCCGCGUGUAGCAGUGAAAUGCGUAGAUAUGCGGAGGAACACCGAUGGCGAAGGCAAUCCCCUGGACCUGUACUGACGCUCAUGCACGAAAGCGUGGGGAGCAAACAGG
rnacentral:rRNA from 1 species